rnacentral:rRNA from 1 species
UUUUAUUUGGGGGGAAGGUGGGGAUGACGUCAAAUCAUCAUGCCCCUUAUGUCCUGGGCUACACACGUGUUACAAUGGGUUAAACAAAGAGAAGCGAAACUGUGAGGUGGAGCAAAUCUCAAAAAAAUAGUCUCAGUUCAGAUUGUGGGCUGCAACCCGCCCACAUGAAGUUGGAAUUGCUAGUAAUCGCGGAUCAGCAUGUCGGGGUGAAUACGUUCCCGGGUCUUGUACACACCGCCCGUCACACCAUGGGAGUCGGGAACA